rnacentral:misc_RNA from 1 species
CAGCCGCGUAAUUCCAGCUCCAAUAGCGUAUAUUAAAGUUGCUGCAGUUAAAAAGCUCGUAGUUGAAUUUCGGGACCAUCAUGUCGGUCGUGCCUCGGUACGUACUGGCAUUGUUGGUUUCUCCCUUCUGACGAACCAUGAUGUCAUUUAUUUGGUGUUGUGGGGAAUCAGGACUGUUACUUUGAAAAAAUUAGAGUGUUUAAAGCAGGCUCACGCUUGAAUACAUUAGCAUGGAAUAAUGAAAUAGGACGUUUGAUUCUAUUUUGUUGGUUUCUAGGAUCGACGUAAUGAUUAAUAGGGAUAGUUGGGGGCAUUAGUAUUCAAUUGUCAGAGGUGAAAUUCUUGGAUUUAUUGAAGACUAACUACUGCGAAAGCAUUUGCCAAGGAUGUUUUCAUUAAUCAAGAACGAAAGUUAGGGGAUCGAAGACGAUCAGAUACCGUCGUAGUCUUAACCAUAAACUAUGCCGACUAGGGAUCGGAUGAUGUUAAUUUUUUAAUGACUCAUUCGGCGCCUUACG